UAGCUCAAUGGUCGAGCGUUGGCUUUGAAAGCCAAGGGUGGUGGUUCGAUCCCGUC
rnacentral:tRNA from 1 species